AAGAUUUAGUUGAGUUGAGUUGAGAUAGCAGUUAAAAAGGACAAGAACAACCUUUUCAAUCUUACUAUUUCAAGGGGGAAAAAAAAAGACAACUCUAUAAAAGGAAAUAACACGUAGAGAGUAAGAACAAAAGGACAAGGAAAUGGAUAAAAUCCAAAGGACACAACAUAAAUUUGAUAAACCUUUGUUAAUAUUAACAUAAACUCAAAUCAUGUAUCUUUUUUAUGCAUUCCUAUU
rnacentral:misc_RNA from 1 species